rnacentral:rRNA from 1 species
GACGAACGCUGGCGGCGUGCUUAACACAUGCAAGUCGAACGGAAAGGCCCUGCUUUUGUGGGGUGCUCGAGUGGCGAACGGGUGAGUAACACGUGAGUAACCUGCCCUUGACUUUGGGAUAACUUCAGGAAACUGGGGCUAAUACUGGAUAGGAGCUCCUGCUGCAUGGUGGGGGUUGGAAAGUUUCGGCGGUUGGGGAUGGACUCGCGGCUUAUCAGCUUGUUGGUGGGGUAGUGGCUUACCAAGGCUUUGACGGGUAGCCGGCCUGAGAGGGUGACCGGCCACAUUGGGACUGGGAUACGGCCCAGACUCCUACGGGAGGCAGCAGUGGGGAAUAUUGCACAACGGGCGGAAGCCUGAUGCAGCAACGCCGCGUGCGGGAUGACGGCCUUCGGGUUGUAAACCGCUUUCGCCUGUGACGAAGCGUGAGUGACGGUAAUGGGUAAAGAAGCACCGGCUAACUACGUG